AGUGAACGCUGGCGGUAGGCCCAACACAUGCAAGUCGAACGGCAGCACAGUAAGAGCUUGCUCUUACGGGUGGCGAGUGGCGGACGGGUGAGGAAUACAUCGGAAUCUACUUUUUCGUGGGGGAUAACGUAGGGAAACUUACGCUAAUACCGCAUACGACCUACGGGUGAAAGCAGGGGAUCUUCGGACCUUGCGCGAUUGAAUGAGCCGAUGUCGGAUUAGCUAGUUGGCGGGGUAAAGGUCCACCAAGGCGACGAUCCGUAGCUGGUCUGAGAGGAUGAUCAGCCACACUGGAACUGAGACACGGUCCAGACUCCUACGGGAGGCAGCAGUGGGGAAUAUUGGACAAAGGGCGCAAGCCUGAUCCAGCCAUACCGCGUGGGUGAAGAAGGCCUUCGGGUUGUAAAGCCCUUUUGUUGGGAAAGAAAAGCAGCAGGUUAAUACCCCGCUGUUCUGACGGUACCCAAAGAAUAAGCACCGGCUAACUUCGUG
rnacentral:rRNA from 1 species